AUUGAACGCUGGCGGCACGCUUUACACAUGCAAGUCGAACGGUAGAGGGGCAACCCUUGAGAGUGGCGAACGGGUGAGUAAUGCAUCGGAACGUGCCCAGUAGUGGGGGAUAGCCCGGCGAAAGCCGGAUUAAUACCGCAUGGGACCUGAGGGUGAAAGCAGGGGAUCGCAAGACCUCGCGCUAUUGGAGCGGCCGAUGUCAGAUUAGCUAGUUGGUGGGGUAAAGGCCUACCAAGGCGACGAUCUGUAGCUGGUCUGAGAGGACGACCAGCCAAACUGGGACUGAGACACGGCCCAGACUCCUACGGGAGGCAGCAGUGGGGAAUUUUGGACAAUGGGCGCAAGCCUGAUCCAGCCAUGCCGCGUGCGGGAAGAAGGCCUUCGGGUUGUAAACCGCUUUUGUCAGGGAAGAAAUCUUCUGGGCUAAUACCCUGGGAGGAUGACGGUACCUGAAGAAUAAGCACCGGCUAACUACGUGCCAGCCGCCGCGGUAA
rnacentral:rRNA from 1 species